rnacentral:sRNA from 1 species
UUUUUUUUUGCGUUUUUUGUGUU